GACGAACGCUGGCGGCGUGCUUAACACAUGCAAGUCGAACGGGCCCGCCCCUGUUUUUGGGGGUGGGUUGAGUGGCGAACGGGUGAGUAUCACGUGAGUAACCUGCCCCCUGCUCCUGGAUAACUGCUUGAAAGGGCGGCUAAUACGGGGUGUGCCGGCUGGUCCGCAUGGGCCUGGUCGGGAUAGUUUCAUCUUCGGGUGUUUCGGUGGGGGAUGGGCUCGCGGCCUAUCAGCUUGUUGGUGGGGUGAUGGCCCACCAAGGCGGUGACGGGUAGCCGGCCUGAGAGGGUGGGCGGCCACACUGGGACUGAGACACGGCCCAGACUCCUGCGGGAGGCAGCAGUGGGGGGUAUGGCACAAUGGGCGGAAGCCUGAUGCAGCGACGUCGCGUGAGGGAGGGAGGCCUUCGGGUUGUGAACCUCUUUCUCCGGUGGUGAAGGCCCUGUCCGGUGCGGCGGGGUUGACGGUAGCCGGGUAUGAAGCGCCGGCUAACUACGUG
rnacentral:rRNA from 1 species